UGAUGAAUCAUGUUCUUUUGAGGCCAGACAUAAACUGACAACAAAAAUUUCAUAAAUUGCAUUGAUUUGAGUCUACCAAUUCACCAUAUACCUAAGACAAUACAUUCUAGCUGAUUUUUUUUUUUUACCCUUAGCAUUCAGGGUUGACCAUAAUCCCUCAUACUGAUUUUUAUCACUCUUUUAAACAUGAAAAUUAAAUAAAUUCUUGAGGGGAAUGUCUGCACAGUGUCAAGAAUAUGACAGUUGUUUUCCAUUCAUUUCAUUGGUUGAUAAAAUCUAACGAUUGAUUUUGUAAAUUUUUCAUGGACCUGCACUUUUUAAUUUACUAAGGAGUUUUGGUACUUAUUUUUUUAAUAUUUAAUUUACAUAAAUUGCAUUGAGGGUAUAAUUUCAUCCUGUAAAUGCCGUAGACACCUGUUGUUUACUGAAGUUUUUGGCUUGGCCUAAAAUGUGUAUUGAUCACAAGAUGGACAUGUCCAGACAAUUUCUCAUUAAUUGAUAAUAAUCAAACAUCUGUUGUACUUACUAUUUCAUUAACAAACAAGAACUGGUGUAUUGAAAGUUUGUUUGUCCAAUCGAAAUCAACUUUACAUCAUUCUUUCACUA
rnacentral:lncRNA from 1 species